UGGGGAUCCCGAUGCUCCUCCUGCUCCCGCGGCUCCUCUCCUCCUCACCUCCGCCUUCUCCACCUCCGCCUCGCAUCGCUGGCCUCAGCCGCCGCCGACCAGCGCAGCCCUCCUGGUGCUCCCUGCAGCUCUGGGCCUGGAGAAGUGGAAGAUGUCCCCCGCACAGCCUGGUUUUCAGCAUCCCCGUGUCCUCUUUCCCUUUUUGAAGCCAGAACUUCAGGGUCAGACCCUUUGUACAUCAUCAAUUUCAUCCUGACUCUUUCCAGCAGCCCCUGAGCUCGCUGCUUUGUUUAUGCUAGUGUCCAGAAACAACUCCUGCUUUCCUGGUCUGCUGAACUUCUAAACAAUCCUUGCUUUGGAUCCAAUAAUACAAGGGGCAGCUGCUCUGCCAGCGGCAGUCCUAAUCCAAGUGGGUAAAAAAGGCUGCUUAAAAAAAAGGGCUGUAGGCUUGCUUGAGCAGCCUGCAGCAUGCCCAGCAGUAAUGCCUUCAUUUAGAGCAGCCUUGCAGUGUCUCCAGGCUUUCGCAGUGUUUGUGUGGAAGAAAGCUGAAGAAACCAUUUCUGAAUCUCAAUCACUUUGCUGAGACCAAAGAGCAUGUAUGUUUUGGGAAUGGGCAGCAUACAAAUUGCAGUCAUUUGCAUGCUGAUUGCUAUCUUGAUACAACGGAAUCUGUCCUAGAGCCCUUGGCUGACAGCUCAUGAAUCAACCGGGUGUGUUGUCACAGUGCAGUGUUUGAACAGAAGUAUUUCCAUUCCACGGUAUUUCCUAGCUGCUUUCUGAAAAUAGAAGAAAAGUAAGAAUACAGUCGCUGGGACUCCUUAUAAAAUCUCACUAGAUGAGUCCAGGGAUAUUCACCACUGGUCUUGGUGAAGCUUUCAUGCAUCCUUGAAAGGGAUUCAUUAAGCUGGAAAAGCUGGCUGGAAACCAGUCUUCCUAUAAUGUCUUCCAUAAUUUGCUUCAAGGGACACAUUUACAGUCACUCAGCCUUUUUUAUAGAUCUUGUGCAAGACGAAGGGCUGGGUCACAAUUGCAAGACUUUAAUGAAUAGAUGUUUCUUGCAUGCCACAACCAAAACAAUUUUUCAAGCAUCUCAGCACAGCGCUGUGUUUCAGUAUGGACUUUCCCAAGGAUGUGCGACAGGACCAUAGCUGCAACCUCUGCAUUCGCAACGACCGCUCUUUUCCAGCUGCUCCUUCUUCGAUUCCGAUCCAUUCACAUGCAGAAAGAAAACAUCCAGCAACCACGAUUUCUACUCCCCAUUUUUUUGUUCAAGGAGCUGAAGAUUUCAGCUAUUUCCUUUUUACCAUGUUACCCACUGUACAGGUUUGCACGGAAACAGAUUACAGUGUGAAGACUCGUUGAAUUAACAAAACAUCACUGAAACUUAUCUAUUAAGUAUAGCCAGAUCUCAGAAUGAUAUUCUGCUUGUCACAGGAGUGCUAAGAUCUGCUUCAUGAAGUCCAUUUAAUUUAUGAGAACGAUCUCUCAUCCACAUCCCACCGAACGCUACUGAUGGACUCGGCGAUUAGAGAUGGAACAAAACAGAGAUGGCUUUGGGGGCUUGGAUUUCAUUAGAAUUUUAAAACGGGGAAGUAGAUUUGCCCGCUGACCUUUGAUUAACAAAUACGAAUUCAGCCAGAAACGUUUUCUCUGAAGGUAGCCCAAUUAAGAACAGCUUCCUUCCGAGUUCCCCUUGUCUGUCUGUGAAAACUGGGCACGCUGGCACUGGGCUUUUUUUCUGGACAUUUUCCACCUGGUCACAAACAUUGGAAGUCCUGUCUUAGCAGGGUAAGCCAAGUAGCUGUUGCACAAAGAAACACUGAAUGCAUUUCUGUAUUGCAACAGAGACAGCCUUGAAUCACCAUAUUGAUAUACAAGGGAUCAGAUAGUAAACUUUUUAUUAGCAGCCAGGAAUUUCUUUUGAAAAUGAUUCUUUUUCUUUGACAUCCCUACAUAUGUGCUGAAGGAUGCUGGUACAGUUUCUUCCUAUCAAGACAGGAUAUAAUGUGUGACUGUGUUCUAGAAAAGUGUUACUUUUUUUUACAGAUUUAUAAUUUUUUAAUGUCAGAUCACCAUAAAGCUUUCAAGCAAUAGCUGCUGGCCAAAAUUACAUUAGGAAAGUGCACGUUAUGCUCCAUUUCCCUCCGGGAAGGGAGGUAAACACAGGCAAUCUGGACUGGGAGGGGCAGAGCAGAGGUAAGGAGGCUCUUGCUGAGUUUCUGCUGGCGGUCAGUACUCCCAUGUCUUCCCAAGAUGGCAAUACAAAAGGAGCAAUACAAAAUAGCAAAGAAAGGAUAUUGUAUUCUGCUGAAUACUAGCUACUCUAGGGACUGGGCAGCACUGUGUGGUCAUUGCAUCCUGAAAGGGGGGAAGGAGACAGCAUCCACAAAUGGGGGAACAAUAUUGAUGUUGUAUUAACACCACUGGCAGACAUAUGUGGUAGGCAGGGCUGGUGGAUGCUGUUCAUCAAGUGCGUGGAAAAGCAAUGUGCUGUAACACUCUCUGGCAUUUUGAAAUAGUUGUGAAGUCUGUGCAGCACAACCUGAAACUAUUAUUGUCUGAUUAGUCACAGUGCUGCUAAUUGCAACAGUCACUUUAUACCAAGGAAGCUAGUUUAAGGAAGCUUGGGAUAAAGACCACCUAAUUUAGGUCCCCAUUAGUCAUUGCAAUAGCUAAAAUUAGGUGACUGACUCCAGCAGGACAAGCCAAGUCACUCAUUAUACAAUUACUCUUCAUUUACAAGAGUGAAUCAAAAAGCCAUACUGCUUUCCUGGAUGGAGAAAAUGUUGGUGGGAUUUAACUACUGCUAAAUGCUGCAUUUGCAUUUGCUUCUCUCCCUGAAGCUCCAGCCCUUGCCCCAGGGCUGUCCUGCGGGAACUGCUGUCCUGAGUUUAUGGAAGCUCUUCUCUUUGGUGCCAAACCCAGCCGAGCUCACUCUGCUAAGAAAAAAGCAGAGGCACCAAGACGAGCAGAGCCCACUGUAUGCCUUUCCUGCUUCCUGAGCACGUGUCCAUAAGGCUGUGAAAGAGAUGGGAAGGGAUUUUGCCUUCAUCACAGUGUUUCUGUCAGCGUGUGUCAGAAUAUUCUGAGUCUGUCCUUGCAAUGAUCCAUCAAGUGUCUGGUAGGGCUUGGCCUAAGUCUAGGUUGUGGGAGAAUAGUUCCUGAAGGGAGAGUAGAAAGAGGACAGAGCCAGGCAGUCAGUGGUGCCCAGUUCUGGGACAGAGGCAGCAGGCACAAACGAGGCAGCACCACAGUGCUGUGUGGGUGAUGCACCCUGGCACAGGGACGCAGAGGCUGUAGGCUCUCCUCCUUCGAGAUGUCCAGGAGCUGCCAGGAUGUGGGGCUGGGCACUCUGCUCUUGGGUGGCCCUGGUGGGCCAGGGUGAGACCAGAGGCACCCAGAGCUCCUGCAGCCUCAACCAGUUGGGGUUCUGUGACUGGGAUUCCCUGAUUCCAUGAUACUGUGAUGCUGUGACCUCCAGGGCUUCCAGCUGACCAGAAGGUCCCCUUGGGGCUGACGAUGACAGCGGGCAGGCAGUGCUCCCUUUGGCACCCCUGAAUGGAGAUGCCUCAAUCCAGAGGAUCAGGAGCACAGAUUACACCAAGCACCUUCCUGAAGUACCAGUCAGUGCAUGAAUUGCUUCUGCCCACAGGCAGCACUGUGUAGCUCGGUGUCAGAAGGAAGCAGGGUCAGGUGUUUCCUUGUGUGCACUGAAGUAGUAUCUGCUGCCCAAGAUGCCAGCAGGGACAUCUGAGGUCACCCAGUUCAGCCUGCAGGCAAACAUGAUGUCAUCGCUGUCAGUGUGUGAGCAAACCCCCAUUCUAAAAGCAGUUCGUUCUGCUUUCUUUCCUUUUUCUCUCCACUUGUUUUGCUUUCCCAUCCUUCUGCAGCGGGGUUUUGUCCAAGCUUUCUUUUUCAUUUUUCAGCCUGUGUUUAUUCCAGGCCAGUUUUGCCUAUUACACUCUCAUGUCUAGUUUUUGUCUCCACAAUUUUCUUUCUGAUGGGUGGGAAGGAAGAUGGAGUCCACAAGAGAAAAUUCAAUAUCGCUGUUUUUGUGUGUAUGAAAUACUCAGCUCUUUGUGCUUGAUUAGACAAUUUUGAGAUGCGGGCAAAUGAGAAUUACAUUGGUCACAAAACAUUGAACUGACAACCUGAAGUAGCCAUUGGAAAGAAAACCCUUCUAAAGCACGAACUUUUUCUUUUAUUAAACAAUUUAUAAUUUGGUCAUACGGUACUCGAAGAUGCUUACAGCUGAAUUUUAAAGUGUGCUGAUUUCACUUAGUGUCACUUUACAUUUUAUGGGCUGGGAGAUCUGCAAAGCCUUUCACCAGGCAGAGAGAAGUGCCCCGGAUCCUCCUGGCUGUACCAGGGAAGCCUGAGCUCCUGCUGGAGCGUUGCUACCUGCAGCAUCCCUCACCAGCAACCCGGCGUCUUUGUGCUCUUCAUCUCCAUCACGUCAGCCUUGAGACAUGAUGUGAAUCCAGUUUUGUAAAGGAGGUGGAACAGAACAGCAUGGGCUUGGGACGACGGGAGUAGCGAAAUGUUCACUCACUGCGUGCAGGUGACUGUGGUUAGGAGGAAGUGUGAACAUUUGCUGGCUCGCCUGGCACAACAGAGCACUUUCAACAGCCUUCCCUUAUGAUACAUUUGAGGCAAUUUUAUUUGGAAUUUCAGUCCAAGAAACAUUUUAAGCUUGUUUCUUUUUUGAUCAAAUUAACACAUUGGUCCUUGGGACAUUCUGCUCAGUGCCUGUAAGACUGCUUCUUCUUCCUGCCCUUCCUCAGUGCUCAGCUCACAUCCACCAGCUAUACAACGUAAAAACUGGAUAGGUGUAUUUCAGCAUUACAAACACUAAUUCGCAAUGGCACAAAACCAAUUUGGAUUUGCACACAUGCAUCAGCAGCACUACCUAUAUUGAUCCACAAGAGCACGAAACCGAUGUGCAAAUAGGCGCGCGCUUCUGAAUUGUGAGCAGCCAUUCGGAGGUCUUGACUCAUGGUCCGCCCUCUGCAGCCAGCUCUGCAGGCUGACACUUAAGCGGUUCCGUCCGUGUGUCUGUGCCCUGGGCACACCGACAGCCUCUGCAGGCCCCCACCCACCCCAACCACUGUGGGUGCUGCCAGCUCCCUGCGCUGGGUGCAAUGUGGGUCCCAGGGUGGGGGCGCAGGAUGUGUUCCUCACCUUGUGUUAGCAGCUCCUGAGCAGGCACCUGAGCACCAGGGUAAUGCAUCUUCCUGCAUGGUAGUACUUCGUCACAGGCGAGCUCUUGUCAUCACCUCUGUUUCGCCAGAUGGAUGACUGUUUGGGGAUGGAAGGCUUUUUUCCCCUUUAGUUGGACCAAGACCAUCCAAUGGAGUGAGCAGCAGGAGGUUCUGAAAGAGAGAUACUGCUAGCACUGUUUCCACAUACCCACAGACUGAUCUUUAUGCAGCUGAGACUACAAGGGAUAUCCCUUAAAAUAAAGGGUAUCUUAUUACCCAUCUUCUCCAACUCCUGUGGAACGAAACAUCCCAAAAUUGAGAGAAGCUGCUGCACAAAGCUUCUUUAUAGAUCUCAGUGUGCCUCCUUUGCUGGCUCCAGCUGCCCCUAUGCUCUGUUUUUCCUCGGCCUUUUCUUCAAUAUUUUUUCCAGUUGACUUAGUUAUUACAGUACACGGACCAGAGCGAGGAAAAUACCCUGAAGGUGGGAGCUGGCAGAGCGGGGGGUGGCAAUGGAAGCGCUGUUGCCAUCCCAUGACAUCACCUACACGGCCAUUGGUGGCACUGCGGUGCGGGGAGGCACUGGCCGGCAUCCCCAGGCUCACUUCCGUGACACAGAACAGAGCCGGGGCCUGUCUGCUGCCAGCCCCUUUCAGUGCCAGCCUGCUGGCAGAGCUCGGGACGUUUGUAAAAACAGUACAGUACUUUAUUUAGCCUCUAGUGAGAAAAAGUCACUUCACAGCUCCGGUUUAGGCACAAGGCGCUAACAAGCAGAUUGGAAAAAAAAUAUAAUCCCUUGCAUAAAAACGUUUCAGAUGAAAAUUGAUUUGUAUGCCAGAUGACCUCGUGGAUCGGGAGAUUGAGCUGUGCCUUUUAUCUCCAAAGAAAUGGGUUCGGAUCCUGAUUAGCCCAUAGAGGAAAUUCCAUUUAGUGGUUUAAUUUUGGUGAGCUGAAAAGCUGUUCCCUGCCUAGAACCGCCAUCUAUUAUGGCGUGAUUGGCAGUCUGUGUUCAAGGCAGAACAAGAACGUCACCUCGGCUCUACUCCUAUUACUUCAUCCUGCCAUCAGCUCUCAGCACCUAACCUCCAUUUCCAAAGAGCCUAAGAAAGCAGGCAGGAUUCAAGGUGAAAGUGGAGUCGUGCAGCUGUGCCCGGACAGAGUGGAGGAGGCAAAUGGCUAAGAAAGACUGUGGAGGUGCCAAGGGGAGACCUGGAGAAUGGGACAAGGGGGCCUGGGAAAGCAAGAAGCACACUGAUGGAGCAAUGUUUCAUGAGGGAAAAUGGAAAGGGGAGGAGAAAGGGGAAAAAAGUAGGGAAUGAGGAUGGGCGGGCAAAGGAUGUCUAUGUGAAAGGUGGGAUGCAGGCGUAGCCAGAGCUGAAGGCAGUGAACCAAAAUGAGCAUAACUCCACCUAAAUGUCAGGUGUAAGAAGGAGGCUCUCAGGGUUGGCUCCUGGAACAUCUCACUGUGUCUGAAGGUUCUGGUUGGCAUAGACAUGUCCUGAGUCAUGGAAUCAUAGAGUGGCUUAGGUUGGAAGGGACCUUAAAGACCAUUCAGUUCCAACCUCCCUGCCAGGACUAGGCUGUCCCCAGCAGAUCAGGGCCCAGGGCUCCAUCCAACUGGCCUUGAGCACUACCAGGGAUGUGGCAUCCACAACAGUCCUCAGCUGGUGCUAAAUAUUUUGCAAUCAAGGUAUCUUAGCAUGGUUUUCCUAAGUCUUCAUUCCUUGGAGCGUGAACCACUUCUGCAGGGGAGCAGAGGAUAUGCAGGAUUGGUCAGCAGCCAGUUCACUUCUCCAUCAUGUCUUGGCAGGAAACAGAGUAAGAGAAGAGAAGAACUCCAGCCUAAUCAAUAGAGUAUCUCCACAUUGUUGGGUUAUAUUGCUACGACCAGCAUGAGCACGUUCCUGGUGGCCUGCUGGGCUUUCUCCACAGAUAUUAAAUGGAGGAAGGAAUUAGAAUUUUGCAUUGUGACACUAAUCAGCCUCGUGACCCUGUUUUGUGCAAUGUUGUGAGCAGAUAGAUAAGAAAAUAUUAUCACUCUAAGGUGGUUGCAGCAGUGGGUGAAAACCUCUCACUGGUGGGAAUGGAGGUUUUGCUGCUAGGAUGGCAUUUCAGCUUUCUUAGUCACCUCGGCUGUCACAGCAGUGAAUGUGCUCAUAAAAUAAUCUCCGUUUGGGUGGUCUUCCUUGGAACAAUAAAAUGUGCAUUUGGAAUGGCACUGAUAAUUGGAAAAAAUGCUAUAAAACCAGCAUGGUGAUGAAGUGCAAAGUACUGCAUUUUGGGAGGAGAAAUGCCAGAAGGGAUCUCCUGGUGGGGUUGGAGCUCCAGGUGGGCUGAAGGCUGAACACAAGGGCAGGGUGGGAUGUCCUUUUCUGGCUGCAGUUCUCCAGCAGCGAAAGCUGCUCUCCACAAUCCUGUUGCUUCAUCAUCUCCUCUCACCUGAGGCUUUGGCUUCUUCACACACCCCUCAGCCUUAGCAGGGUGUGUUAGAUGAAGGCGAGAAGAGACCUGCUGUCUGUACUGCUGACUGUCACAGAGGAGGGCUUGGCCGGCAACGGCGCUGGCUGACCUGGGAGGGGAGAGAAGGCAGCUGGGGGUGGUGAUAAGCAGCUGGAGCGGGCGAGAAGAAAUAAACUUUUCACCCAGCUCAGCUGCAGCCAGAACAGGAUGUGUGGCUGCAACCUAAGACAUAGGAGAUAAUUAUUCUACUCCACUUGGCACCGGUAAGGCCUCAGCUGGAAUACGGUGUCCAGUUCUGGGCACUGCACUGUAAGAAAAAUGUAGACAAACUGGAGAGAGUCCAGGAGAGAGACACUGGAAAUAUCAGAGGCACAGAAAGAACGACCUAGGAGGAAAUGUUGAAAGGAUUGUUUGUUUAGUCUGGGAACAGCAGAGUCUAAAGAAGUGAUGAUAAAAAUCUUGCAAUAAGUUAAAGUUUAUUGUAAGGAGGAGAGUGAUAGAUCUUUCCCCAUGGCUGCUGCAGGACAGGGAAAGAAGGAAGCAGCUUCAUUUGCAGCUAAGAAAACUGAGAUUAGGAGAAACUUUCUAGGAGGGCAAUGCACACAAGCUGCUAGGGAAUGCAUGGGUCUUGUUAAACUACAUAAUAACUACUAUGUGUUCUAUUUGAUUAACAAACAUUGGAAGAAUAAGGAUGGUUUUUUUGUUAGAAUGAUUAUUUUGGGCUAAAGCCUAGGACUGUAUUUCUACAUGUCCACAGCACAGUCAUGUGGGUGCACUUGCAAGAAAUAGCUCUUGGGCUUCAUGCUCGCUCUUCUUCAGCAUCAGUGUGCACAAAACGCAGCAUCUUGUGACUGAUCUCUUAUUGCAAGAUCUCUACAUAUUGUUGCAAUACAAAGAGGUCAUCGUGUAACCCAACAGUUUGUAUAAAAUCCUAUGAAUACAUGAAUAACUUCGCCUUAUGAUUCCAUUUUUGGCUGCACUGUAUUUUUUCCCUUGCAGGUUUGUAUCAGAUAUCUCUAAUCCCUUCUUUGUAGAUUUGCGGUAUGUGCACAGCUAGAGAUAUAUCCACUGAUAGCUGUUAAUCCUUUGAGUGCUUUUACAUUACACAGCAUAUGUCCAGUGAAAGUUCUGCUGUAUGGUUUAAGGAUACUCGCUGAUUCUCCAGCAACUGCAAACAGAAUACUGUGCCAUCCCAGGAAGUUCUCAGGCUGUGAAUUGGAUUUUCUUCUUCAGAAGAGACUCAAAGGACGUCCUAAUAUUUCCAAAAGUUCAGACUAAUGUGCCUUGCAAACUCAGGAAAGAAAUGGACUGAGGGUCAGGGAGGUUGGAUGUGGAGGUAGGAAGCCAGCACACUAAGGUCCCACACAGCGUCUUGGACUCAUUGGUGAUGUUGCAGAGGUCAAAAUCUAUGGCUGUAGCUGGCCAAAACAUUUCUUGAGACUUAUGACAGAAUAUGGACUUUUUUCUCGUGAAAUAGAAUCUAUUAGGGAAUGUAUUUGAGCGCACUUUCAACUCUUAGUCUCCUUGGAUUCUGAAGUGUAGCUUUAGAUAGGAGUGUUUUGGAUUUUCUGCUGUUCGGUUUUGGUUUAGUCACAAAAUGUUAAAGGUGUUUUAUUAGCUCCCAGUGUAUGUACCCAGCCUUCAUUCCAUCUGCACAACAACACUAACAAAAAACAUGAGGUAAGGAAUACAACGAGGUCAUGGAUACUUUCAACAUUUUGAAGAUGAACAGCAUUAAGCCUAUAUCACCUUUGAAGUGUAUACUCAGUGGAGCACUAGAGCAGUACAAACCAGUAAAACAAAACAGCCAGUUAAGCGAGGUUACAGCUGCUUUGCUUUCCACAAAAGCACAAAGCACCCACAGGGUAUUCAUUAUCAUAUGAAUUAUUUUUUGUGGUUCUUCAUGGAAGGUAGGUGUCAAAGGCAUCUAUUGUGAAGAACUGGGACAUGGUCAGCCUUGCCUAUUGAAAUGAGGUGGGAGAGAAAACCAUAUCUCAUCUACUUCUCUUGGUUGCUUUGCAGGGCACUGGGGUGCUCCCACAUCUUCCUGUUAGAGCUGAAGCAUCAUGGAAGGUUUACGGGGAUAGAAAGGAAAAAUGGGAAAGGGGUAGUGGAAAGAAAGGGAGAACUGCUGUGAUUUAGAUGUUGAACAGUUGGACUUCAAAGACUGUGUUAGACACCUCAGGCUCCAUGUACAAUCAGUGGAGAGGAAAAGUAACUCCAGGGAGAUGCUUGUCUCCUUCAGGACAAGAAAUGCCUGUUUCUCUGCUGCCUCUAUGAGACAUCUAGGUAUCCAGCUCCUAGAUAGGGGAAGUUGGCUGGGAUGACCCUGCACGGCCUACUGGCUGUGGCACUUCCUGGAGGCUGCUCCCACCACUGGGAGUUGCCUCAGGGUGGAAUCGCCUCUUCUACUCACCCUGUGGUGACUGCAGGGCAGCAGUGACCGCCAGGGCUGCCUGUGAGGAGGGGAGCUGGCCGCUCAGCUCUUGUCAUGGCCCAGGAGCCCUGACAGACAGCUCGCUUCAGGGCCUUUGGGCUGAAGAGCCCAAAAGGUAGCUGUGGUACUGCGGGACAUGGCUCAGUGGUGGAAGGCAGACGGUCGGACUGGAUGAUCCGUGUGUCUUUUCCAACCUUAAUGAUUCUAUGAAUCUAUGUCACCUGCUGGUGGCACCAAGCCAGAGCUGCCCGUGUCUGUGCCUGGGCAGGAGAAGCAGAAGGUUGGAGACUUACGGAAGCGCCCUUUGCCCUGCCUCAGUCCUACACAAGGACCAGGUUUGCAUUUAACUGCACCUAAGCUGUAGGAAUCCUCACGGCUCGGGAAGCAAAACCCUUUGGCUCUGUAAGCAGACCAAACCCAUCUUCAUUUGCUGCAUGGCCCCUGAUAGCUUUUCCACAUUUCACAUGGGACUGGGCUCUCAAAUGCUUUUUACAAAUUUGACCAACUCCCUUCCAGCAUCUGGCAGGGCUCAUUUUCCCACUGAUACUUCAUUUAUUCCACAUGAGCUUCCCCACCUUUAUUUCAUCGUCGAAUCAUUACGGUUGAAAAGAGCACUAACAUCAUCGAGCCCAACCAUCAAUUUAUUGAGUCCAACCACCAUUUAUUUAUAUUUAUGUUCUUUUGCUUUUUUUUUUCAUCCCAGCAGGGAGGCGAGCAAGUGGAAGUGCAUCCCAUGUAACGUCUGGGAACGGCCUCGCAGGGCUUUGGCACCUUGUGCAGGAAUGAGCACAUGCAGGUAGAAUGCGAUGGCUCCCGCUGAGCACGGCUGUGCUGAAUCCUACAGCCCAGCAAAGAGCAGCUGGUUAAGGUGGAAUUUGAAAAUCAGUCACAAGAUAAACAGGUUGCAACGUUAAGCGCUCUCCAAGGGAAAAGCAGCGUGCAGCAUAUGUUCUUACUUUGGAAGAUAUUUAAGAAAGGGAAAAAAAAUAUCACAACCCUUUAAUAGACCCUUUACUGGCUCGUGCUAGUGGGGCUGUUAAUUAAUUAAAUAACUAUAUGUGAAUGGCAUCCAUUGGGAAAGAGCCUCACGGCUUCCAGAUGCCAGUUAUUGGCCCCAUUAC